rnacentral:lncRNA from 1 species
GGGGAUCGAAUCUUAACUAACUGACGUAUUGUAAUAUCAACCAGCCGAGAAUAAAAUCAAAAGAAGAUUGAUUGAAAAAGCUAAAGUACUAUUGAUGGACUUCAUGCAGCUGGCUUUCACUCGAAUCUUUUUCAGUUAUAAGGUUUUCUACUCCUUUAUCCUUUGACUCUCAACUCAAUGCAUCACAGACUGACGAGUCUAAGACAAGUUAGA